GAGCCUGGUCAAAUUAGGUUGCAUCUACAAGUUCAGAGGUCUGGUGCUACAAAUCUGAGGCCCAGGCUCCAUACCUUCAACCGCAUUGAGGUUCUGCCAGUUCAGAGUUUCUGGAUGCCUUUCUGAAGCCAAUUAUUAGCACUCCAGUAUUUCCAUUUUUCAUUGUAAUUUUUUCUUUGACCCAUGAGUAAUUCAAUUUUUGUCAAAGCAUACAGGAUUAUUUAGAAGUUAUUUGUUACAAAUUUCUGCCUUUACUACGUUUUGUCAGAGAAUGAGGCUGGAGUGCAAUGGCACAAUCUCGGCUCACUGCAACCUCUGCCUCCCAGGUUCAAGUGAUUCUCAUGCCUCAGCCUUCUAAGUAGCUGAGAUUACAGGCACCCGCCACCACGCC